UACGAAGGGGGCUAGCGUUGCUCGGAAUCACUGGGCGUAAAGCGCACGUAGGCGGACUCUUAAGUCGGUGGUGAAAUCCUGGAGCUCAACUCCAGAACUGCCUUCGAUACUGAGAGUCUCGAGUCCGGGAGAGGUGAGCGGAACUGCGAGUGUAGAGGUGAAAUUCGUAGAUAUUCGCAAGAACACCAGUGGCGAAGGCGGCUCACUGGCCCGGUACUGACGCUGAGGUGCGAAAGCAUGGGUAGCGAACAGG
rnacentral:rRNA from 1 species